GUGCUCGCCUCAAGAAGCACACGUACUACCAUUAAAACAAUACAGAGGGGAGUAGCAUGGUCUCUGAUGCAAGGAUGGUAUGCAGAUUGGUGGUGCAUACUAUAGUUCU